GGGUGCGAUCAUACCAGUACUAAUGCACCGGAUCCCAUCAGAACUCCGCAGUCAAGCGUGCUUGGGCGAGAGUAGUACUAGGAUGGGUGACCUCCUGGGAAGUCCUCGUGUUGCACCCC
rnacentral:rRNA from 1 species